CAAAAGGGCUUCCGUCGUGAGUGGCGCACGUUCAGCUCUGUCGGGCUGUUCGUGUGGAAUCGCUAUCAAGAGAUUCCGGACGCAUAAUUUUUGUGCUCUUGUGGCUGCUGGCUGUCGUUUACACCGGCGCCCUA